rnacentral:lncRNA from 1 species
AGGAAGGAGGUGCCCAAGAAAACAGGUUUAGAUUUGGAAAUCAGGAGAUCUCUGGGGGCUUUCAAGAGAAUUAUUUGAGUGGUGGGUUGUGUAGACAAGAUUGCCACUCCUUGGGGGGCAUCAGGAUCCUGGAUCCAGUUGGUUGAUCCAGGGACACAAAGGUUCAUUUCUUUGAUUUCCUUCACGGGGACUCCGAAGGGCCUCCCCAGAGCCACAGCUUCCAGAGGGAUCUGACGAGGCCUCUGUGGAAAGCAACGCAGUUCAAGUUCAGUCUCUGCCUAAUCCUGUUUUCCUCACUCUCUCAAGGUGAGUGAGGUCUAUGGGGGUAAGCCCCCCCGCCUCCCCGUAGACCUCCUGGAAUGCCUGGAACAGCUCAGCAACCUGGGCACAGGUGGCUUGAGACAACCUAGCCAUUCGGGCCUGCUGCCAGAGUGAACGCCACAGGGAGGCCUGCCGGGUCUGGGGAGCAUGAGCUGGUCAGGCCCCCAGUAGACCCCUUGCAGGCUGAUCUCCAUCUCCAUGCAGAGUCUGUAUCCUAGAAAUCCAACCUGAGAUCCUGCGGCACCGAGAAAGGGAAGCUGUUUCAAGAGAUAGGAAUUGUCAGAAAAAGCCGGAGAAGGUGGUGUUAAAGGAAAACAUUGAGAAUGGGGAGUGAAGACGAGGGUUUUUCGUAGCAGAAGAUGGAUCUUCGAAAGCCAGGAGGCAGAGGAGAGCAACGCUGUCGGUGAGAUAAAGGACUGAGGAAUGACCAGAGGUUAAAUGUUGAUGAGCUGAAUUAGCUUCAGUUCAAUCUGCAUUUGACUAGGAACUUGAUGACUGAGGCUGCUCAUUUUUGCAACAAUACCUGGGGUAGAGAAAUGACUGUAGAAUUGAACCUCACAAUCUCAGGUGUAAUUCCCAUGAGAAAGAUAUUACACCAGAAAUAGGAGGUUUCCAGCUGUUCUCAGGCAUGCUUUCAAUGACACUAAGAACAUCAGUUGCACUAAUUGGUGCUUGAAAUAAUUAUUGAUCUUCAUCAGGAGUGUCAAAAGCAUUGCUCAAAUGUCCAACUGCUUGUCAUGCUCUCUUGGCAUUCUACGCGAAGGACUUCACAGACUGUUUCUUUCCCAGGAGAGCAUUAGCUAAGGCAAAACAUAGAAAAACACAUCUAGGAUACAGAUAACAUAAGUACAGACAGCUGAGCAAAUAUAUAAAUAACACCCGAAAUGACACUUAAAUAUUUACAGCUGGAGAUUUCUGCUACGUGCAGCACAUACUGCUAAUCCUCUCUCAUCUCCAGGAAGUUUUCAAAAACCUGCUUCUGUAACUAGUGGACAGGUCUUCUGGAUCCAAGGUCACCUGCUGGGGAGAAAGAGAAGCCUUUGGAUAAACAUCACAAGUUUUCCUGGAACAUGGAUUUUAUUUAAGAUUUUUUGGAAAGAAGGGAAUAAGGUUUUUACCUUUGUAAUGUUUUUACAAAUAUUUUCAAAAGUGUAACAUGUAUAUGUGCUCAUUUUAGAAAAUUUGAUCAGUAUAAAAUAUUAAAGAAGAAAGUAAAAGCUCAUUUGGAAUCUUAUCUGUUGGAAGGAAUCACUGUCUUGCUAUAUGUUGGUGAAUAUCCUUUUGAUGAUGUGUAUGUGUGUCAGUGUGUGUUUGUAACUUGAAUUUUUAAAGUUUGAGAAUAUAUUCUAGUCGUCUU